GUGGAAACCCGUGUUAUCCUUGAUGAAGUAUGGAGCAUUGUAAGAGACGUUCAGUGACAUCACUCCAUGCUGGGAAGUUUUUGAAGUCGGGUUCGAUUCCAUUUCCAUUUAUAUCUUUGUGAUUUGGGGUAACAUACUUCCCAACAGUGACAGCAACACCAGACCCGUCAUGAAGUUCAAAAACAGACUGAAUUAAACCCUUGCCAUAAG
rnacentral:misc_RNA from 1 species